CAAAACCUGUGGAGGAGACAGAGACAAGUGUCAAAGGAGUCAGAGCAGAUGUGAUUUACGGGACUCUUCAUUUUCUAGUAUUAUUACUCCUUGUGUUUAUAUCCCAUAGUGGACUUCAUGCUCAAUUUGCCGGUGGGCAAAGCGGUGGCAAAGACCCACGAUGAAGGAUGGUUCGCUAACUAGCAAAGAAGAAUGAGGAGGAAGCUGGAGAUGCUGCAAGGAUCAUGUCCUCUACAUGCAGCUUUGUGACUCAGCAAUUGGCAUGGUUGUGGAAAGGCUAAUCAAGUCUCAUGGCCUUCACCUUCUCUUUGUUAAGCUAAAUCGAUUUAGCUGCUUGAGUCUAUUGCUAUAAGGGAUGAAAAUUUGCAAAAGUGCUUCACUAUUAAUAGUCCAGAUUAAAAUAAAUGUCCAAAUCCUGCUGAUUCCCUUCGCACCUGAGAUGCAAGAAUAACCAAGAAAGCCCACACAAGAACAGGCCUCUAUUCCGAUCUGCACUCACCAAAC